GUGGUAAUUCUAGAGCUAAUACAUGCAAACAAAGUCCCGACCAGUGAUGGAAAGGACGCUUUUAUUAGAUCAAAAUCAAUCGGCGGUUCACCCUCUCGCAGGGUGAGUGCCGCCGUUUAUUUUGGUGACUCUGAAUAACAAACCGGAUCGCACGGUCCUCGCACCGGCGACCCAUCUUUCAAAUGCCUGACUUAUCAACUGUCGAUGGUAGAUUUUACGUCUACCAUGGUUGUAACGGGUAACGGGGAAUCAGGGUUCGAUUCCGGAGAGGGAGCCUGAGAAACGGCUACCACAUCCAAGGAAGGCAGCAGGCACGCAAAUUACCCACUCCCGGCACGGGGAGGUAGUGACAAAAAAUAACGAUACGGGACUCAUCCGAGGCCCCGUAAUCGGAAUGAGAACACUCUAAAUCAUUUAACAAGGACCUAUUGGAGGGCAAGUCUGGUGCCAGCAGCCGCGGUAAUUCCAGCUCCAAUGUUGGUUCUGCGUCCCACGCUGUCGGUUCACCGUCUGUCGGUGCAACUGGCACGCCGUGGGAUGUCCUGUCGGUGGCGUCCUCCGAUCCGGCAGAGGUUUAGGGUCCGAAGCCCACCCCGGAGAAGGGGUCGCCGAACUAAUCCUACUUCGGUGCUCUUCAUUGAGUGUCGAGGUCGGCCGACACGUUUACUUUGAACAAAUUAGAGUGCUCAAAGCAGGCUGAAUUCCGCCUGAAUAGUGGUGCAUGGAAUAAUUGAAUAGGACCUCGGUUCUAUUUUGUUGGUUUUCUGAAUCCGAGGUAAUGAUCAAUAUGGACAAGCGGGGGCAUUCGUAUUGCGGCGUUAGAGGUGAAAUUCUUGGAUCGUCGCAAGACGGACUAGAGCGAAAGCAUUUGCCAAGUAUGUCUUAGUUGAUCAAGAACGAAAGUUAGAGGUUCGAAGGCGAUCAGAUACCGCCCUAGUUCUAACCAUAAACGAUGCCAGCCAGCGAUCCGCCGAUGUUCCUCCGAUGACUCGGCGGGCAGCUUCCGGGAAACCAAAGCUUUUGGGUUCCGGGGGAAGUAUGGUUGCAAAGCUGAAACUUAAAGGAAUUGACGGAAGGGCACCACCAGGAGUGGAGCCUGCGGCUUAAUUUGACUCAACACGGGGAACCUCACCAGGCCCGGACAUUGGAAGGAUUGACAGAUUGAUAGCUCUUUCUUGAUUCAAUGGGUAGUGGUGCAUGGCCGUUCUUAGUUGGUGGAACGAUUUGUCUGGUUAAUUCCGAUAACGAACGAGACUCUAGCCUGCUAAAUAGGCGCCGGUAUCAAUGCUACCGGCGUUACAAGUUCUUCUUAGAGGGACAGGCGGCUUUUAGCCGCACGAAAUUGAGCAAUAACAGGUCUGUGAUGCCCUUAGAUGUUCUGGGCCGCACGCGCGCUACACUGAAGGAAUCAGCGUGUUUCCCCCUGGUCCGAAAGGGCGGGCAACCCGCUGAACCUCUUUCGUGCUAGGAAUUGGGGAUUGCAAUUGUUCCCCAUGAACGAGGAAUUCCCAGUAAGCGCGGGUCAUGAGCUCGCGUUGAUUACGUCCCUGCCCUUUGUACACACCGCCCGUCGCUACUACCGAUUGAAUGAUUUAGUGAGGUCUUCGGACUGGUGAUGAGCGGCAACCGCUUCGGCGCUGCCGCUGUCACCGGGAAGAUGACCGAACUUGAUCAUUUAGAGGAAGUAAAAGUCGUAACAA
rnacentral:rRNA from 1 species